rnacentral:rRNA from 1 species
AUUGAACGCUGGCGGCAGGCUUAACACAUGCAAGUCGAGCGAGCGGCGGACGGGUGAGUAAUGUCUGGGAAACUGCCUGAUGGAGGGGGAUAACUACUGGAAACGGUAGCUAAUACCGCAUACCAUCAGAUGUGCCCAGAUGGGAUUAGCUAGUAGGUGGGGUAAUGGCUCACCUAGGCGACGAUCCCUAGCUGGUCUGAGAGGAUGACCGGCAACGGUGGAAGAGAGACACGGGCCAAACUCCAACGGCGGGAAGCAGUGGAGAAUAUUGGACAAUGGGCGCAAGGCUGAUGCAGCCAUGCCGGGUGUGUGGAGAAGGCCUUCGGGUUGUAAAGCACUUUCAGCGAGGAGGCGUUACUCGCAGAAAAAGCACCGGCUAACUCGGUGCCAGCAGCGGCGGUAAUA